rnacentral:rRNA from 1 species
AAUAGAUACCCGGUAGUCCACGCCGUAAACGGUGGGCACUAGGUGUGGGCGACAUUCCACGUCGUCCGUGCCGCAGCUAACGCAUUAAGUGCCCCGCCUGGGGAGUACGGCCGCAAGGCUAAAACUCAAAGGAAUUGACGGGGGCCCGCACAAGCGGCGGAGCAUGUGGCUUAAUUCGACGCAACGCGAAGAACCUUACCAAGGCUUGACAUACACCGGAAACGUCCAGAGAUGGGCGCCCCCUUGUGGUCGGUGUACAGGUGGUGCAUGGCUGUCGUCAGCUCGUGUCGUGAGAUAUUGGGUUAAGUCCCGCAACGAGCGCAACCCUUGUCCCGUGUUGCCAGCAGGCCCUUGUGGUGCUGGGGACUCACGGGAGACCGCCGGGGUCAACUCGGAGGAAGGUGGGGACGACGUCAAGUCAUCAUGCCCCUUAUGUCUUGGGCUGCACACGUGCUACAAUGGCCGGUACAAUGAGCUGCGAUACCGCGAGGUGGAGCGAAUCCUAUAAAGCCGGUCCCAGUUCGGAUUGAAGU